rnacentral:lncRNA from 1 species
AUGAGGAUCAAUUCCCUCCGUCAGCUGUGCAGUGCUGGGCUCAUCCCUCCCCUCCGUCAGCCACAGGCGGAGGGUCUCGGUGUCCUCUCGCCUGACUUUGGUGUCAUUGACCUGUGGAGCACUGUGCUGCCACAAGAGGAGCAGUCAGGCUGCAUCCCUCCUCGGGUUUUUAGUUUCAGUGAAGCAACUGAAUCUGACUGUUUUGUGGAUGAGACACUUGAGCAGAAAGCAUGUGAGCACCAGCAAGAGGAAGCGCUGGGACGCUUCCCUCAAGGUGUCUCCUGUUCCCUGCUGACGGGCCUCCACCACGGCCCCCUGUCCGAGGAGCCUGUAGCCAGUGGCAAGCAGGACAGCAGCUCCGCCCUCAGCCCUGUGCGCAGCUUGAUUUCGAAUAGCUCUGCUCCUUCUGAAACCACCGACGAGAGCCCCCACAAAGCCCGACUAAAGACGGAUGAGACCUUUGUCCAGAGCGCCACUGCCAGGCUGGAUCAUUGCAAAGUGGGCUGCUGGUGGAAACAGGACACUGAGACCUGCGGAGCCUCCAGUGGCCUCUUAUCUGCUGCAGAACCAGCAGCCGCUUUCACAUCAGAUAAUCCUCUCGUUUUACGUCGGCCACAUUCAUACAGUCUGCUCACCUUUAUGGACAAAAGAGAUGGCAAACAGGUAUUACUAUCUCUCUCUCACUCUCUCACUCUCUCACUCUCACACACACACACACACACACACACACACACACAUACUCACACACACACACACACACACACACACACACACACACACACACACACACACACACACACACACACACACACACACACACACACACACACACACACACACACACACACACACACACACACACACACACACACACACACACAGUUGUGGUGUGUUCAUCGUGAGGAUAUCCACACUGGUCAGUAG